UGUUAUCAUUGAAGAUUUUGUAUUAUUUCAAAAAAUUAAUCGUGAAAAAUAUGUAUUUCCAACUGUGAAAAAGAAACAUAGUACCAUCCAUAACAUUUGAAUUUCGAAGAUUUGCUGCAAAUCUCAAAUAAGUAGAUUUGCUCAAAUUGAAACUAUAUGGGAAAACUCCUUGCCGAACCCGAGAUUAUUGAAAUCUAGUCGACUUUUAUUUAGAUUCAAUCAAAGAAACUUUUGGAAUUGUUGCGAAAAACUUUAACAAAAUAUAAUUUUUUUUUAACAUAAUUACAUGAAAUAGAGUACCAAACAUAGGGUAAUUAGAGUUUCGCCGGAGGUGCAUAUUGCUCUUCAAAAUAUGGUACCAUAUUCGCUGUUCGCGAUAUUUUUCGCCUAUUACUUUUUCUAGAUAAUAUAUUUUAAAGCAAAAGAAAUUGAUUGUAAAACAUAUGAUGGGAGUGCUGCCUCUAUGUCAUUUUAAAUAUAAAUUUUUGAGGUUUUCUAAAAUAAGGGAAACAAUGUUUCGUGAAAACUUUCCACAGUGAACGAUCUUAAUACCUACAUUUAGGGUAGGUUAAGAUUUGUUGCUGCAGAAAAUUUGCCGUAACUAUGUUAACCAAUAAAAUAUCUUCAUUUCUUGUGAUAUUUAUUCCCUUGGUCAAAUUAGCUCAACUCAUUCCCCGUUUGGGAAGAAAAAAUAACGUAAUUAAAAUCCUAAUCUAUUGUAGCUCGCUGCGGUAUGAACUGGAAAAAGGCGCAAAGCACACCAUAAUUCAUAUGCCGUCGUAAAAUCAUCAGUCCAGCCCUCAAGAUCUGGAAAAGGCUGCUAUCAAUUCAAACCUAAAAUCGCGGCAGCAACUGCAAACCGAAUUAAAAGCGGUAAUAAGAAACCGAGCUGAAUACCGCAAUUCCAUUAAUUCCUCGCAACAACAAGUGUUACAUCAAGCCAACACAACAGUAGAAGAGGCCGCAGCAACAACAUCCUAAAUUCAAUAGAAAAAAUCAAUGACGACACUAUCCACAACAGCAACAAAACUUCAAUUUAAUCAGAUACCCAAAUCACAAUCCUGGCUUCACUCAACAAGGUUAAGCCAAGCCAUCAGUGAACAUACAGUUUUUUGAAUUUUCGUCAUUAAGCUUGUCAAACUUGUCAUUCUUUACGUUUUUCUCACUUACUUGCAAUGUGCGUUUGUUCAUAAUCAAAUUGAAUUAAUAAAACACACAAAAUUGAAA